UACGGAGGGUGCGAGCGUUGUCCGGAAUCACUGGGCGUAAAGGGCGCGUAGGCGGCCUGGCAAGUCGGUGGUGAAAGCCCGUGGCUCAACUACGGGUCGGCCACCGAUACUGCUAUGGCUCGAGUUUGGUAGAGGCAGAUGGAAUUCCGGGUGUAGCGGUGGAAUGCGUAGAGAUCCGGAAGAACACCGGUGGCGAAGGCGGUCUGCUGGGCCAAGACUGACGCUGAGGCGCGACAGCGUGGGGAGCAAACAGG
rnacentral:rRNA from 1 species